rnacentral:rRNA from 2 species
AGGUGUGAUCAUACCAACACUAAUGCAGUGGAUCUCAUCAGAUCUCCGCAGUUAAGCGUGCUUGGGGAGAGUAGUACCAAAAUGGGUGACCUCCUAUGAAGUCCUCAUGUUGCACCUC